AACAUGUUUUUUCUUUAUGCCGAGAAAUGCAUCUCUGUUUUUUUUUUUUUUUUUUUUAACUUUUUUUUAGAGACAGAGUCUUCGUUGCCCAGGCUGGAGUACAGUGGUGCAAUCACAGCUCACUGCAGCCUUGACCACCUGGGCUCAAGCAAUCCUCCCCCCUCAACUUCCUGAGUAGCUGAGACUACAGCCUUGUGUCACCAUGCCCAGCUGAUUUUUUGUAUUUUUUGUAGAGACAGGGUCUCGCUGUGUUAUCCAGACUGGUCUCAAACUCCUAGACUCAAGUAUCUGCUGCCUGGGCCUCCCAAAGUGUUGGAAUUACAGGCAUGAGCCACUGUGGCCGGCUGAGAAAUGUACGUCAGUAUUAUGGAGCAAGAGGACAGAGUCAUGGUGGUUCUGGGAAUAAAUACUAAGAUUUUAAAAUAAACCAGUUUUGAAAUAGACGUCACAGAGGAGACAGGGAAGUGGCUCAACUCCUCCUCCCUAUUGCAGGCGCCUGAUAUAAGAGCUUAGUAAAAGAUGAACUUGGGUAUGUUGCAAGCUGCUGCCUUGGCUUCCUCCAAGCGCUGCAGGGUUUCUGGGACUAAAGGGAGCUCUGUGGAUCUUUCUGGGAAUGUUCUGGGUGCAUGGGGUUGGAUCAGCCUGUUUCAGUUCUCCACAGAUGAAGAGAACUUGCCAGGGCCUGGGCGACCCUCUGUGAUCCAGCCCUGCCCAUCUUGCAGUUACUGCAUGCUUUUCUCCUGUCCUGUCAUGCUCCAGCCUCAAUGGUCUGUUCCCAACAUGCCAUGCUCACAGCCUUUGUACUUGCUGUUCCUUCUGCCUAGAUGGCUUGUCCCUCAGCCCUUCACAAGUCUGAUUCCUUAUCAUUUAGGUCCCAGCUCAACUGAGACCCUAGAGAGGCCUUCCCUGAAGUCCCCACCCUCAACUCUCCAUCAUUGCAGAAAGUUCUAUUGGGUACCACUGCUCUUGACCACAGACAUGCGUUACAUUUUCCUACUUCUGUCCUUUGCUCAUGUUAUUUGCUUUGCCUGGAAUGCUUUACCUGACAUUAAUAGAAAUCCAACUCAUGUAGAAUUUGGCAAUAUGUUAAAAGUCUUAAAAUUAGUUCAGCAAUGCCACUUGUCAGAAUGUAUCCUUAAGGAAAUAACUGUUGAUAUAUGCAAAGAUUUAGCUACAAGGAUGUUCAGCGCAACACUGUUUAUAAUAGCAAAAAUAGAGGCUGUGUGCAGUGGCUCAUGCCUGUAACCUCAACACAUUGGGAGGCUGAGGGAGGUGGAUUGCUUGAGCCCAGCAGUUUGAGAGCAGCCUGGGCAACACAGGGAGACUGGUCUCUGAAAAAAAAAAGAAAAAAGAGGCCAGGUGCGGGCUCACGCCUGUAAUCCCAGGACUCUGGGAGGCCGAGGCGGGGGGAUCACGAGGUCAGGAGAUAGAGACCAUCCUGGCUAACACAGUGAAACCCUGUCUCUACUAAAAAAAUACAAAAUAUUAGCCACGCGUAGUGCCGGGCGCCUGUAGUCCCAGCUACUUGGGAGGCUGAGGAAGGAGAAUGGCGUGAACUUGGUAGGCAGAGCUUUCAGUGAGGUGAGAUCGGGCCACUGCACUCCAGCCUGGGCGACAAAGCGAGACUCCGUCUCAAAAAAAAAAA
rnacentral:lncRNA from 1 species